GAUUCUGGCUCAGGAUGAACGCUAGCUACAGGCUUAACACAUGCAAGUCGAGGGGCAGCAUGAACUUAGCUUGCUAAGUUGAUGGCGACCGGCGCACGGGUGAGUAACGCGUAUCCAACCUUCCCCUUAGUAGGGCAUAGGCCCGGUGAAAAUCGGAUUAAUACCCUAUGUUUUCCAAUGAGGACAUCUGAGCUGGAACAAAGAUUCAUCGCUAAGGGAUGGGGAUGCGUCCGAUUAGGUUGUUGGCGGGGUAACGGCCCACCAAGCCUUCGAUCGGUAGGGUUCUGAGAGGAAGGUCCCCCACACUGGUACUGAGACACGGACCAGACUCCUACGGGAGGCAGCAGUGAGGAAUAUUGGUCAAUGGGCGAGAGCCUGAACCAGCCAAGCCAGCGUGCAGGACGACGGCCCUACGGGUUGUAAACUGCUUUUAUGCGGGGAUAAAGUGAGGGACGUGUCCCUUUUUGUAGGUACCGCAUGAAUAAGGACCGGCUAAUUCCGUGCCAGCAGCGGC
rnacentral:rRNA from 1 species